AUUAGGCUUAGCUAUCAUUUAGCUAAUUUCCCCAAUUUUAAGCUCAUCAAGUCAUCAGCGUCUUCAGCUUCCCGUUAAACUUGAGGAUGGCUUCAAUUUCUUCCCGCUGGCGGGGGCUCUGCAAAUCUCGUCGGAACUUCAUUUCCAAAACGCAUUUGAAUUCUUCUCUCAUUCCUUCAGAGAAAUUCUUCGCUAUUGCCGAUCAAGGGACGGAGUUGUUAAAUCUGGCGUCCGAUAUAGGGAAGCGACUUUUCGUCCCAAGAAGCAGAAGAUCUGCUCCGAUUGUUCCGAUUAUCCGGCUUGGUCGGAAAUUCAAUUAAAGAAUGGAAGUCAUCAAUUCCUUUAGAUUCCUUGGCUACUUCAUGAAUGUUGUCCUACUAUACGGUUCUAGAGAUCACAUGGAGCGCCCCAAAUUACUCACGGGUUGCUUUAACUUCUUCCGGUUCUCCAUCAUCACUAUAUUUUAUAUUAUGAUUAACCUACUUGCCCCCUGCUCCCCGUAAGCUUUACACAUUCUUGGUGACAACAAUGGAUACGCUUGUUUUGCUGCCUAGUUUUAUCGAAGUUCUUGAUGAAGCUAAGAGUCUCUCUAGUUCUCCUGCCAAUCUUGUGAUCAUUUUUUUAGUUCUUGGUAAGAAGCUCAGCUGGUUUGUAGUUUACGUUUCUAUAAAAUUGAACUUACCCUUUGAUUUUCCAAUACUUUUAUGUGUUUGCACUUUGAUCCAGUUCUUAAUCUAGCCUUUGCACUCAAGUCUUUUUUGGUUCGUAGUUAUGCAUGCAUCUCCCCUGAUGAGCAAUCCAGCAUCAAUUGAGGUGGUCGAUCAUUAUCCAAGGAUGAGACUAAAGAAGAAGUUCUGUCCAUGGAAGUGCAGAAACAGGAGAUGGAAAUAGAGAUCAAAAUGAAGAUGGGAGCGAUCAUCAAAACAAGGCUAAAAGGUACCAUCCAUUGUUGCUUCUGUGAUCUAUGAAACCGAACCGCCCACCAACCCAUCACGAACCCCCCUGAUACACUUACCAAAACUAAAACUAGACAUGUCCACACAUCCUUGAGAUCUCUGUUCUUCUGCCUCUUCUGCUCUCUCUCCCCCUUCAUCCCAGCUUCAGUGUCUGCUCCCACCUGCAAUUCUCUCGUGUGUGACAUAGAAUAGGAGGAAAAACUCACAAAUGAUCCAUUAGAAGAAGAAGAAGAAGAAGAUAGAUCGGAGAGAAAACCCAAUUAGCUUAGGAAAAAGACGUGCAGUUCUUGAAGAUAUUAGAGAGAAAUAGAAUAAGAAAGUCGCAUUGAGUAUAACGUCACGCGUGGCUUCCCAAAGUUGGUUUUGUCAAUUUGAAGGAAUGUAAAUAUAAAUAAAAGAAGGAUUGGCAUUCAUUGGCUGGGAUCGAUAAUUGCGUAGCUUCUAUCUGGGGUAGAGUUUGAUUGAUUUAUUGCCUUAGAUGACAUUUAGUGCCGCGACACCCACCUGGCCACAAUUCCUUUGUUUCUUCAUUUUCAUAACCUCUUUCAUUAUUGUUUCUUUCUUCUCUCCUCCCUUCUCAUGCAAACCCAACUACAGCUUCUAUUCAGAACAUUAAUCUUUAAGUAUAGUCAUAAAUGAGCCUUUACAUAAGACUAGUCUUAUGAAAAAUAAUGAAA